rnacentral:rRNA from 1 species
UGGCCGUAAACGAUGUGGACUUGGUGUUGGAAUGGCUUCGAGUUGUUCCAGUGCCGAAGGGAAGCUGUUAAGUCCACCGCCUGGGAAGUACGGUCGCAAGACUGAAACUUAAAGGAAUUGGCGGGGGAGGCACCACAACAGGUGGAGCCUGCGGUUUAAUUUGGAUUCAACGCCGGACAUCUCACCGGAUAAGACAGCUGAAUGAUUGUCAAUCUGAAGGUUUUACAUGACUAGCUGAGAGGAGGUGCAUGGCGUCAGUGACU